rnacentral:rRNA from 1 species
AUCGCAAGACCUCGCGCGAUUGGAGCGGCCGAUAUCAGAUUAGGUAGUUGGUGAGUAAAGGCUCACCAAGCCGACGAUCUGUAGCUGGUCUGAGAGGACGACCAGCCACACUGGGACUGAGACACGGCCCAGACUCCUACGGGAGGCAGCAGUGGGGAAUUUUAGACAAUGGGCGCAAGCCUGAUCCAGCAAUGCCGCGUGCAGGAUGAAGGCCUUCGGGUUGUAAACUGCUUUUGUACGGAACGAAACGGUGAGCUCUAAUACAGUUUGCUAAUGACGGUACCGUAAGAAUAAGCACCGGCUAACUACGUG